GUCCCCACUUUUGGUUUGCAGAGAGUAUUAUGACCCACUUGGCCAGCUUUCUCAUUGCCUGCCUCUCUGUAAGCUUUGUCUUCAGUCAGAGGCAGAUGUGCAGCGAUAGCGUGCCUUCAUGGGACGCCAUAACUCCACUCAACCAAGUGGUACCCUUCAUGAGAUACCUCUCUGAGAACCGCCCAGCGGACAACGAGACGUGUCUGUUUUUCGACUCUCCUUUUUCGUACCCUCACUCGAAAACGCAACUGAGGAGUAACACAUAUGGCGCAUACGAUCCAAACUUUCGACAACACUUAUUUGCAGAAAGGCAUUUCGAGAGUCUGUCCUGUGCCAGUUCCCUGCAUUUGUCAGAAGGUACGCUCACAAGGAAAACCACACGCAGAAAAGUACACACGCAGGUUCCGAUUCCACGAUUCUACGGUUCUGAGGCUGGAACACACACAGACGGACAAACACAACACAUCCACAAGUAUCUUUGGAUAGGUGCUCAUGGUGGCCAUGCAACAGUGGCAGUACUUGGUUACAGACUGCACUUUGGAUCUGAAGUCACAGUAUGGCGCAUCAGCUGGAGUUCCUUCCUGGAGAACAAAUUUGUCAGUCAAGUGACUGCAUUAUUAUUAUUUUUUUACUUUUGUUGUUGGGGGCUUUUCCAUUUUUCUUUUGGGUGUGUUUAUAAAUAAACGCCGUUGGUUUGCCGGGCCCGUUCA